AUUGAACGCUGGCGGAAUGCUUUACACAUGCAAGUCGAGCGGCAGCACGGGGGCAACCCUGGUGGCGAGCGGCGAACGGGUGAGUAAUACAUCGGAACAUGCCCAGUCGUGGGGGAUAACACUUCGAAAGAAGUGCUAAUACCGCAUACGUCCUGAGGGAGAAAGCGGGGGAUCUUCGGAACUCGCGCGAUUGGAGUGGCCGAGGGCAGAUUAGCUAGUUGGCGGGGUAAAGGCCUACCAAGGCAACGAUCUGUAGCUGGUCUGAGAGGAUGAUCAGCCACACUGGGACUGAGACACGGCCCAGACUCCUACGGGAGGCAGCAGUGGGGAAUUUUGGACAAUGGGGGCAACCCUGAUCCAGCCAUUCCGCGUGAGUGAAGAAGGCCUUCGGGUUGUAAAGCUCUUUCGGCAGGAACGAAACCGCGAGCUCUAACAUAGCUUGCUAAUGACGGUACCUGAAGAAGAAGCACCGGCUAACUACGUGCCAGCAGCCGCCGUAAAAC
rnacentral:rRNA from 1 species